GAUGAACGCUGACAGAAUGCUUAACACAUGCAAGUCUACUUGAACUUCGGUUUGGGUGGCGGACGGGUGAGUAACGCGUAAAGAACUUGCCUCACAGAUAGGGACAACAUUUGGAAACGAAUGCUAAUACCUGAUAUUAUGAUUUUAGGGCAUCCUAGAAUUAUGAAAGCUAUAUGCACUGUGAGAGAGCUUUGCGUCCCAUUAGCUAGUUGGAGAGGUAACGGCUCACCAAGGCGAUGAUGGGUAGCCGGCCUGAGAGGGUGAUCGGCCACAAGGGGACUGAGACACGGCCCUUACUCCUACGGGAGGCAGCAGUGGGGAAUAUUGGACAAUGGACCAAGAGUCUGAUCCAGCAAUUCUGUGUGCACGAUGAAGUUUUUCGGAAUGUAAAGUGCUUUCAGUUGGGAAGAAAAAAAUAACGGUACCAACAGAAGAAGUGACGGCUAAAUACGUG
rnacentral:rRNA from 1 species